CUACGGGCCGCACCAGUGGGGAAUUUUGCGCAAUGGGCGAAAGCCUGACGCAGCAAUACCGCGUGAGUGAAGAAGGCCUUUGGGUCGUAAAGCUCUUUUCUGGGGGAAGAUAGUGACGGUACCCCAGGAAUAAGCACCGGCUAACUCCGUGCCAGCAGCCGCGGUAAUACGGAGGGUGCAAGCGUUGUUCGGAUUUACUGGGCGUAAAGGGCACGUAGGCGGCACAGCAAGUUAAGGGUGAAAUCCCGGGGCUCAACUCCGGAACUGCUCUUAAAACUGCUGAGCUAGAGAUGGUCAGAGGCGGGUAGAAUUCCUGGUGUAGAGGUGAAAUUCGUAGAUAUCAGGAGGAAUACCGGUGGCGAAGGCGGCCCGCUGGGGCCAUUCUGACGCUAAGGUGCGAAAGCGUGGGGAGCGAACGGGAUUAGAUACCCGUGUAGUC
rnacentral:rRNA from 1 species